rnacentral:rRNA from 1 species
CCGCCGGCGACCGGCGCACGGGUGAGUAACGCGUAUGCAACUUACCUAUCAGAGGGGGAUAGCCCGGCGAAAGUCGGAUUAAUACCCCAUGAAACAGGGGUCCCGCAUGGGAAUAUUUGUUAAAGAUUCAUCGCUGAUAGAUAGGCAUGCGUUCCAUUAGGCAGUUGGCGGGGUAACGGCCCACCAAACCGACGAUGGAUAGGGGUUCUGAGAGGAAGGUCCCCCACAUUGGUACUGAGACACGGACCAA